AUUGAACGCUGGCGGCAGGCCUAACACAUGCAAGUCGAGCGGAUGAAGGGAGCUUGCUCCUGGAUUCAGCGGCGGACGGGUGAGUAAUGCCUAGGAAUCUGCCUGGUAGUGGGGGAUAACGUCCGGAAACGGGCGCUAAUACCGCAUACGUCCUGAGGGAGAAAGUGGGGGAUCUUCGGACCUCACGCUAUCAGAUGAGCCUAGGUCGGAUUAGCUAGUUGGUGGGGUAAAGGCCUACCAAGGCGACGAUCCGUAACUGGUCUGAGAGGAUGAUCAGUCAAACUGGAACUGAGACACGGUCCAGACUCCUACGGGAGGCAGCAGUGGGGAAUAUUGAACAAUGGGCGAAAGCCUGAUCCAGCCAUGCCGCGUGUGUGAAGAAGGUCUUCGGAUUGUAAAGCACUUUAAGUUGGGAGGAAGGGCAGUAAGUUAAUACCUUGCUGUUUUGACGUUCCCAACAGAAUAAGCACGGGCUAACUUCGUG
rnacentral:rRNA from 1 species